GGGCAUAUGGUGUAGAUGGUUAUCACGCCCGCUUAGCAUCUCUGAUCAUCUGCGGGCGGUCUCCGGUUCGAGUCCGGAUUUGUCCA
rnacentral:tRNA from 1 species